rnacentral:rRNA from 1 species
UAUACGACCGUACCGCAAACCGACACUGGUGCGCGAGAUGAGUAUCCUAAGGCGCUUGAGAGAACUCAGGAGAAGGAACUCGGCAAAUUGACACCGUAACUUCGGAAGAAGGUGUGCCCUAUUAGUGUGUAGUGAACAACGAAGCAUGAAUGGGUUGCAAAAAAUCGGUGGCUGCGACUGUUUAUUAAAAACACAGCACUCUGCAAACACGAAAGUGGACGUAUAGGGUGUGACGCCUGCCCGGUGCUGGAAGAUUAAAUGAUGGGGUGCAAGCUCUUGAUUGAAGUCCCAGUAAACGGCGGCCGUAACGAUAACGGUCCUAAGGUAGCGAAAUUCCUUGUCGGGUAAGUUCCGACCUGCACGAAUGGCGUAACGAUGGCCACACUGUCUCCUCCUGAGACUCAGCGAAGUUGAAAUGUUUGUGAUGAUGCAAUCUCCCCGCGGAAAGACGGAAAGACCCCAUGAACCUUUACUGUAGCUUUGUAUUGGACUUAGAACAGAUCUGUGUAGGAUAGGUGGGAGGCUUUGAAGCAGGGUCGCUAGAUCUUGUGGAGCCAACGUUGAAAUACCACCCUGGUGUGUUUGAGGUUCUAACCUAGGUCCAUUAUCUGGAUCGGGGACAGUGCAUGGUAGGCAGUUUGACUGGGGCGGUCUCCUCCCAAAGCGUAACGGAGGAGUUCGAAGGUACGCUAGUUACGGUCGGACAUCGUGACGAUAGUGCAAUGGCAUAAGCGUGCUUAACUGCGAGACUGACAAGUCGAGCAGAUGCGAAAGCAGGACAUAGUGAUCCGGUGGUUCUGUAUGGAAGGGCCAUCGCUCAACGGAUAAAAGGUACUCUGGGGAUAACAGGCUGAUACCGCCCAAGAGUUCAUAUCGACGGCGGUGUUUGGCACCUCGAUGUCGGCUCAUCUCAUCCUGGGGCUGUAGCCGGUCCCAAGGGUAUGGCUGUUCGCCAUUUAAAGAGGUACGUGAGCUGGGUUUAAAACGUCGUGAGACAGUUUGGUCCCUAUCUUCCGUGGGCGCUGCAGAUUUGAGGAAGCCUGCUCCUAGUACGAGAGGACCGGAGUGGACACACCUCUGGUGUAUCGGUUGUCACGCCAGUGGCAUUGCCGAGUAGCUAAGUGUGGAAGAGAUAACCGCUGAAAGCAUCUAAGCGGGAAACUCGUUUCAAGAUGAGAUCUGCCGGGGCCUUGAGCCCCCUAAAGAGUCGUUCAAGACCAGGACGUUGAUAGGUCAGGUGUGGAAGCCA